UACGAACCGAGCGAACGUUAUUCGGAAUCACUGGGCUUAAAGGGCGCGUAGGCGGGCCGUCAAGUCAGGGGUGAAAGCCUCCAGCUCAACUGGAGAAGUGCCUCUGAUACUGGCGGGCUCGAGCGAGGUAGGGGCGUGCGGAACUUCCGGUGGAGCGGUGAAAUGCGUAGAUAUCGGAAGGAACAUCGGUGGCGAAAGCGGCGCGCUGGACCUCUUCUGACGCUGAGGCGCGAAAGCCAGGGGAGCGAACGGG
rnacentral:rRNA from 1 species